rnacentral:rRNA from 1 species
CCCUUAGAUGUUCUGGGCCGCACGCGCGCUACACUGACGAAUGCAACGAGCUUAUAACCUUGGCCGAAAGGUCUGGGUAAUCUCCAAAUUUCGUCGUGAUGGGGAUAGAUUAUUGCAAUUAUUAAUCUUCAACGAGGAAUGCCUAGUAAGCGCAAGUCAUCAGCUUGCGUUGAUUACGUCCCUGCCCUUUGUACACACCGCCCGUCGCUCCUACCGGUUGAAUGGUCCGGUGAAGCGCUCGGACCGCGGCCUCUUGACGGUUUUCCGUCGAUUGGCUGUGGGAAGUUCGUUAAACCUUAUCAUUUAGAGGAAGGAGAANUCGUAACA